CCCCUCGUAGCUCAAUGGUAGAGCAGCUGCCUUUUAAGCAGUUGACGGAAGUCCGAUUCUUCCCGGGGGGA
rfam:Candidatus Peribacteria bacterium RIFCSPHIGHO2_01_FTLL_51_9 rifcsphigho2_01_scaffold_6187, whole genome shotgun sequence.